rnacentral:rRNA from 1 species
CCUACGGGUGGCAGCAGUAGGGAAUUUUCGUCAAUGGGCGCAAGCCUGAACGAGCAAUGCCGCGUGAACGAGGAAGGUCUUCGGAUCGUAAAGUUCUGUUGAAGGGGAAAAAGAGCGGAGAGAGGAAAUGAACUCCGAUUGAUAUUACCCUUCGAGGAAGUCACGGCUAACUACGUGCCAGCAGCCGCGGUAAUACGGAGGUGGCGAGCGUUAUCCGGAAUGAUUGGGGGAAAGGGGGGCUGAGGCGGCCUGCUAAGUAUGGAGUGAAAGGUAGCGGCUCAAGCGGUACAGGGCCUGGAAACUGGCAGGCUAGGGGGAAAGGGAGGGCGGUGGAACUCCAUGGUGAAGGGUAAA